GAUAUGAAGUAUUGCAUAUGUAGUGUUGUAUAUGGAGUACGGUCAUCAAAAGAAGAAUAAAUCUUCCUGUUCAAGGUAAAAGGAGCUCAACGUGUGUGUCUCGUCUUUUCUAUAUUGCAGCAUCACACGUUGAGGGAAGAUCAUCUGCUGCAUUACCCUCAGCCAUCCGAGGUUGCAGGGUAACAAUUGCCCAGUGGAGCAUGUUGGUGGCACUGUUGGCUUUCAAUAGCUUGAAUCCUGGUCCUUGUGCAAGGAGUCUCCAUGUUCUUCUUGUGAAUGCAUAAGAUCUGUCCAGAUUGCAGGGAACAAGUGUGUCACUCUGAGACCAAGGCUUCGCUCUAUGGGAGAUCUCGGAUCCCUCUCAAAUCAUCCGUUACAGAGACGGGGAGACAGAGCCCACUUAAACAAACUAAAAGCCUGGAGGAGAAGGAGAGGGCCAGCAGUUGUCUGGGUCAAACUAUGGAUUCUUGUUCUGGUUCAUCAAGGGUCCUCAGCUCCCAAUGCAACCCGUGAUACCAACCUGAGGGACGGCCAGCCACUGAUUUAUACCGUAAAAAAGAUUUACAGGGCUACUUCUGAUUGGUUGACCACCGUCUUGUGGCGAGCCCUUGCCAGGAAAUGCAUGCUUCUGGGAAGUUCAGGGAAUCGGAAAGAACAAUUCUACUCUGACUGGGUCAGCGAGCCCAAGACUGUACAACCUUGAAAUUUAGU